GCUGGAAUGGGGGGUGGGGUGGCAGGUAGAGCCCCCUCCCCCACCCAGUGGCGGAACCCUGGAGGGGCUGGACAGGUGAAGGGUUGACUGAGAAGGAAGUCUGAUCCUGGACCUCUAGGCCGGAGGGCAGGGACAUUCCUCAACAGAGCCUCCCACAGCUUGGACAGACUCAAAGGAGGACACCAAGUAAAGAGAAGCAAAGUGAUUCGCCUAAUGCCGCACGGCAAGUUAAGCUGCUGGGCCUGAACCCCAGGUCUGUGACCUCAGAGCCCAUAGGCUGGCCUGGAGGCAGUGGCCCUGCCCUUAACUCCCUGCCGGCCACCCCUCAGCUUCAGCUUGGCUCCUGUAAAAGCGGACCCGCUCUGUGCCUAGCAUCCCCUGGAAGCAGUUGGUACCAGUCCUCUAUCUCCUUAACAGUGACCACAGCUAACAUUCAGCCAAGGGGAACUCUGGGUGAGGGACAAAACCCAGCUCAGGCACCUGCCUCCUACCAACGGGAUCAGUGCCGCCUCCCCAGCGCCCUAUUCCGAGCACCAAAAAGCCUGCUCCACCCCAGGCAUCCUGCCCAGCUCUUUGUAAGCAGCAAUUCGUCUACUCUCCAUCAGCCCAUUUCACAGAUGGAAAAGCAGAGGGACUUGGACGUUGCUCCCGCCACUCGGAGGCUGAUCACCCGACAGGCAUUAUUUCCUGGUUCCAGACCCGGGCAUGGCCCCACUGGUUCCAGGGGCCCCUAAAAUAAACUCCUUCUACUCCU